GACGAACGCUGGCGGCGUGCCUAAUACAUGCAAGUAGAACGCUGAAGUGAGGAGCUUGCUCUUCUUGGAUGAGUUGCGAACGGGUGAUUAACGCGUAGUUAACCUGCCUGGUAGCGGGGGAUAACUAUUGGAAACGAUAGCUAAUACCGCAUAAAAUGGAUUAUCGCAUGAUACUCCAUUGAAAGGUGCAAAUGCAUCACUACCAGAUGGACCUACGUUGUAUUAGCUAGUUGGUGGGGUAACAGCUCACCAAGGCGACGAUACAUAGCCGACCUGCGAGGGUGCGCGGCCACGCUGGGCCGGGGACACGGUCCAGAAUACUACGGGAGGGAGAAGGAGGGGAUCUUCGGGAAAGGCAGCAAGGCGGAACAAGCGACGACGGGGGAGAGAAUGAGGUAUUCGGAUCGUAAAACUCAGUUGUAAGAGAAGAUCGAAAAUGAGAGUGGAAAGGUCACACAGUGACAGUAUCUUAACAGAAAGGGACGGCUAACUACGUG
rnacentral:rRNA from 1 species